CCUACCCAUACACUCUGACAAGUGUGGAUGCUGUAUCACAUGUAUAUCAGGAAGUGGCAGAGAGGAGAAAGGCUAAUUCUAUCCUCAAUAUUCUGACCUAUGAAUAUCUAUCUGAAUAACCAGUAGCGUA
rnacentral:snoRNA from 1 species